GCUAGGACGAACGCUGGCGGCACGCCUAACACAUGCAAGUCGAACGAAGUAAGAAGCUUGCUCUUGCUUAGUGGCGGACGGGUGAGUAACACGUGAGCAACCUGCCUUAAAGAGGGGGACAACAGUUGGAAACGACUGCUAAUACCGCAUAAUGUGCGCUGGAAGCAUUUCCUAUGCACCAAAGGAGCAAUCCGCUUUAAGAUGGGCUCGCGCCUGAUUAGAUAGUUGGUGAGGUAACGGCCCACCAAGUCUGCGAUCAGUAGCCGGACUGAGAGGUUGAACGGCCACAUUGGGACUGAGACACGGCCCAGACUCCUACGGGAGGCAGCAGUGGGGGAUAUUGGUCAAUGGGGGGAAACCCUGAACCAGCGAUGCCGCGUGAGGGAAGAAGGUUUUCGGAUUGUAAACCUCUGUCAUCGGGGAAGAUAAUGACGGUACCCGAGAAGGAAGCCACGGCUAACUACGUGCCAGCAGCCGC
rnacentral:rRNA from 1 species